rnacentral:rRNA from 1 species
AGGACGAACGCUGGCGGCGUGCUUAACACAUGCAAGUCGAACGGAAAGGCCCUUCGGGGUACUCGAGUGGCGAACGGGUGAGUAACACGUGGGUGAUCUGCCCUGCACUUCGGGAUAAGCCUGGGAAACUGGGUCUAAUACCGGAUAUACCUCAUGGGAUGCAUGUUUUGUGGGGGAAAGCUUUUGCGGUGUGGGAUGGGCCCGCGGCCUAUCAGCUUGUUGGUGGGGUGAUGGCCUACCAAGGCGUCGACGGGUAGCCGGCCUGAGAGGGUGUCCGGCCACACUGGGACUGAGAUACGGCCCAGACUCCUACGGGAGGCAGCAGUGGGGAAUAUUGCACAAUGGGCGCAAGCCUGAUGCAGCGACGCCGCGUGGGGGAUGACGGCCUUCGGGUUGUAACCGUCUUCAGUAGGACGAAGCGCAGUGACGGUACCUACAGAAGAAGCACCGGCCAACUACGCGCCAGCAGCCGC